rnacentral:rRNA from 1 species
CCUACGGGUGGCAGCAGUCGAGAAUCAUUCACAAUGGGGAAACCCUGAUGGUGCGACGCCGCGUGGGGGAAUGAAGAUCUUCGGAUUGUAAACCCCUGUCAUGUGGGAGCAAAUUCAAAAGAUAGUACCACCCGCGUACGAGACGGCUAACUCUGUGCCAGCCGCCGCGGUAAUACAGAGGUCUCAAGCGUUGUUCGGAAUCACUGGGCGUAAAGCGGGCGUAGGCUGUUUCGUAAGUCGUGUGUGAAAGGCGCGGGCUCAACCCGCGGACGGCACAUGAUACUGCGAGACUAGAGUAAUGGAGGGGGAACCGGAAUUCUCGGUGUAGCAGUGAAAUGCGUAGAUAUCGAGAGGAACACUCGUGGCGAAGGCGGGUUCCUGGACAGUAACUGACGCUGAGGCACGAAGGCCAGGGGAGCGAAAGGGAUUAGAUACCCUUGUAGUC